rnacentral:lncRNA from 1 species
CAUAGAGUGCUGAGAAUGUCAUCUAUUCUUGCAGGAAAAUACUGAAGUCCUCGGCUACCUGCUGGGUGUCAUUGCUGCCUUGGGCGCCUGGGCCUCUCGGAUACCCCCACUCUCCAGAAUCUGCCGGGGGAAGUCAUUCUCCUACAUCCACCUGUGGACACGGCUACUAUCCGCCCUGGCGGGCCUCCUCUACGCCUCAGCCAUCGUGGCCCAUGACCGGCAGCCUGAGUACCUGCUUCGGGCUACACCCUGGUUCCUGACCUCCCUUGGCCGUGCUGCUCUGGACCUUGCUGUAUCCACUCUAGGCCCCAUGGGUGGGGGAGGGAGGAGCUGAUUGCAGCCAGAGGAGGCCGGCCUGUGUCUCACCCCCAUACUCCCUCCUUCCCUCUUGUCG